AUUUGUGCUGCAGGGUUGGAGAAAACCAGAGUUCCUCAGUUCUGAGCCCUGGGGAGGAUUCUCUUGCUUCCAAGACCUUGGCUCAAAACUUAAGAGAGUUUAAGAAGGGUACCUCUGACUUCCUUUGAGUUUGUUCUGUUCCCUGCUUAUUUAGUGCAUUGAAGACGUCUGCAACAUUAGUUCCAGAUGCAGAGACAGCAUUCACUGGAUCUUCCCUGUGAGCAUGGAGGAUGCUGGAAAUACCAACCUCUCAUUUAAGAGUACCUCCUGAAUGUAAAUAUCAGUGAUUUUCCUCCUAAACCAGAACUAGAGAUUCCUGCUGGACAAUUGGAGGAAUCCGACUCAUCCUACAUCCAGGAGCAUUUCAAAGAAUUCCAGAAAUCCUGCUUUGAGGUUAAAUGAAAAUAAGAUGCUUCAGUUUGAUGACCUGCGAUUCCUAUGGCCACAGCAUGAAGACUGGCUGCAGACACUGA
rnacentral:lncRNA from 14 species